CCCUUAGAUGUUCUGGGCUGCACGCGCGCUACACUGAUGCGCUCAACGAGUUUACGAACUUGCCCGGAAGGGUUGGUUAAUCUUUUUAAAACGCAUCGUGAUGGGGAUAGAUUAUUGCAAUUAUUAAUCUUCAACGAGGAAUUCCUAGUAAACGCAAGUCAUCAGCUUGCAUUGAUUACGUCCCUGCCCUUUGUACACACCGCCCGUCGCACCUACCGAUUGAAUGGUCCGGUGAAAUCUCGGGACGGCGGCUUGGUCGCUUGCGUCCGACUGCUGAAACUUGAUUAAACCAUAUCAUUUAGAGGAAGGUGAAGUCGUAACA
rnacentral:rRNA from 1 species